UAACAAAUACAUCACUGUAUA
rnacentral:piRNA from 1 species